UUUUAAAGAAAAUUAAUAAAAACGGCGAAUAAUAAAAAAGUACAGUAAAAAAAAAAAACAAAAGCAACCUGAGAAAAAAGAUCUGAACCUCGAAAGGAUCUUUCAGCAAAAAAAAAAAAAAAAUCCCUUUCUUUCUUCAAUGCUUUGUCGGAACUCAGCUUUCACUCUUCAUAUUCAUUAGGAAUUUUCUUGCUUUAUCUACGAUUUCAGAUUCUGGCGCUUAGGGUUUUGAUAAUCACGGAGACGACGUGGUUCAAUGACGAUGAAUGAAAGGAAGACGAUCGACCUUGAACAAGGAUGGGAAUUUAUGCAAAAAGGAAUUACAAAGCUGAAGAACAUUCUCGAAGGCUUACCGGCGCCACAGUUUAGCUCUGAGGAUUAUAUGAUGCUUUAUACAACCAUUUACAAUAUGUGUACCCAAAAGCCUCCUCAUGACUAUUCUCAACAGUUGUAUGAUAAGUAUCGAGAAUCUUUUGAAGAAUACAUUACUUCAACGGUACUUCCAUCUUUACGAGAAAAGCAUGACGAGUUUAUGUUAAGAGAGCUCGUGAAAAGGUGGGCUAAUCAUAAAGUAAUGGUUAGGUGGCUUUCUCGGUUCUUCCAUUAUCUUGAUCGCUACUUUAUUGCUCGGAGGUCACUGCCUCCCCUUAAUGAAGUUGGACUCACAUGUUUCCGAGAACUGGUCUACCAAGAGCUAAAUGCAAAAGUGAGGGAUGCUGUAAUUUCUCUUAUUGAUCAAGAACGUGAGGGUGAGCAGAUUGAUCGAGCUUUGUUGAAGAAUGUUUUAGAUAUAUUCGUUGAAAUCGGAAUGGGGCAAAUGGAUUGCUAUGAGAAUGACUUUGAGGCCACUGUGCUUGAAGAUACAGCUGCAUAUUAUUCAAGGAAGGCUUCAAAUUGGAUUUUAGAUGAUUCUUGUCCAGACUAUAUGUUGAAAGCUGAGGAGUGUUUAAAACGAGAGAAAGAUAGGGUCUCACAUUACUUGCAUUCUAGUAGUGAGACAAAACUACUUGAGAAAGUUCAACAUGAGGUGUUAUCUGUAUGUGCAAACCAACUGCUUGAUAAAGAGCACUCUGGAUGCCAUGCAUUGCUCAGAGAUGACAAGGUGGAGGAUUUAUCAAGAAUGUUUAGACUCUUUUCUAAAAUUCCUCGAGGGUUAGAUCCUGUGUCAAGCAUUUUCAAACAGCAUGUUACUGCUGAAGGCACAGCUUUGGUCAAACAGGCUGAGGAUGCUGCAAGCAACAAAAAGGCAGAUAAAAAGGAUGUGGUUGGCAUGCAAGAGCAGGUUUUUGUGAGGAAAGUGAUUGAGCUGCAUGACAAAUACCUAGCAUAUGUCAAUGAUUGUUUUCAAAUUCAUACUCUGUUUCACAAGGCUCUCAAGGAGGCUUUUGAAGUCUUUUGCAACAAAGGUGUUGCAGGAAGCUCAAGUGCUGAGCUACUUGCCACUUUUUGUGAUAAUAUUCUCAAGAAAGGUGGAAGUGAGAAAUUGAGUGAUGAAGCAAUCGAAGAAACACUUGAAAAGGUUGUGAAACUACUUGCUUAUAUUAGUGACAAGGACUUGUUUGCUGAAUUCUAUAGGAAAAAGCUUGCUCGAAGGCUUCUUUUUGACAAGAGUGCUAAUGAUGACCAUGAGAGAAGUAUUUUGACAAAGCUAAAACAACAGUGUGGCGGUCAGUUCACCUCAAAGAUGGAGGGAAUGGUCACAGAUUUGACGUUGGCGAGGGAAAACCAGGCAAGUUUUGAGGAGUACUUGAGCAAUAAUCCAAAUGUAAAUCCAGGGAUUGACUUGACAGUAACUGUUUUGACUACUGGCUUCUGGCCAAGUUACAAGUCUUUUGAUCUCAACCUUCCUGCUGAGAUGAUUAAGUGUGUUGAAGUUUUCAGGGAAUUCUAUCAGACAAAAACAAAACAUAGAAAACUUACUUGGAUAUAUUCUUUGGGUACUUGUAACCUUAUCGGGAAGUUUGAACCAAAAACGACGGAGUUGAUUGUCACAACAUAUCAGGCCUCUGCCUUACUGCUGUUCAAUACUUCAGAUAGGUUGAGCUAUUCAGAGAUUAUGACACAAUUGAACUUAACUGAUGAUGAUGUAGUUAGACUUCUACAUUCCCUGUCAUGUGCGAAGUAUAAAAUUCUUAACAAGGAACCAAGCACGAAAACCAUCUCUUCCACUGAUCAUUUUGAGUUCAACUCCAAAUUUACUGAUAAAAUGAGGAGGAUCAAGAUUCCUCUCCCCCCUGUGGAUGAGAAGAAGAAAGUAAUCAAAGAUGUGGACAAGGAUAGAAGGUAUGCCAUUGAUGCCUCAAUUGUGCGCAUCAUGAAGAGUAGGAAAGUUCUGGGUCACCAGCAGUUGGUUAUGGAGUGUGUAGAGCAGUUGGGCCGCAUGUUCAAGCCUGAUUUUAAGGCGAUCAAAAAGCGAAUUGAGGACCUGAUUACUCGAGACUAUCUUGAGAGGGACAAGGAUAACCCCAAUAUAUUCAGGUACUUGGCAUGAUAUGGCCUAGUCAUUAUCCCAAUGAAGUGGUGACUAUUGCUGCUGCAAAUAGCUCAAAAUGGGUUCGCGGUGAAAGUGGCACAAGCAUAACGAGAUGCCACCUGAUGAGUGCUUUCGGUGACUGCUUAGCAGAGCUAAGAUGCUUGUACAGUAGGAGCCAGGACCAUUUCCUUCCUUGGUUUAACCAGUUGAGCAUGUUAAUGAGAAAGUUAAUGAGAAAGUGUGGUCGGAAGCAUCUGCCAUAGCUAGCUAGAGGGUGCGAUCUGGAUGCCCACUUGCUCCAUAGUUUUACUUCAUUUUGGUAAGAUUGAAACAAACUUAGGGAAGAGAAUUAGGCAAUCUUAACUUCUGCUACACAUUAGGCAAAGGGUUCUCUUUUAUUUCAAAACUUCUAUGUCCAUUUUGCCUGCUUGAUUCACUUCUUGGGCUGACUUCUUGUAUCAGAUUGUGAUAACUGGGAUGGUUCAUAUUUUUACUGAAUAAUUAUUAAAGAUCUAAGUCAGAGAAUAUCGGUAUAGUGAAAUUGAAAUUGUUGU